GAUGAACGCUGGCGGCGUGCCUAAUACAUGCAAGUCGAACGAACAGAUAAGGAGCUUGCUCCUUUGACGUUAGCGGCGGACGGGUGAGUAACACGUGGAUAACCUACCUAUAUGACUGGGAUAACUUCGGGAAACCGGAGCUAAUACCGGAUAACAUAUUGAACCGCAUGGUUCAAUAGUGAAAGGCGGCUUUGCUGUCACUUAUAGAUGGAUCCGCGCCGUAUUAGCUAGUUGGUAAGGUAACGGCUUACCAAGGCAACGAUACGUAGCCGACCUGAGAGGGUGAUCGGCCACACUGGAACUGAGACACGGUCCAGACUCCUACGGGAGGCAGCAGUAGGGAAUCUUCCGCAAUGGGCGAAAGCCUGACGGAGCAACGCCGCGUGAGUGAUGAAGGUCUUCGGAUCGUAAAACUCUGUUAUCAGGGAAGAACAAAUGUGUAAGUAACUGUGCACAUCUUGACGGUACCUGAUCAGAAAGCCACGGCUAACUACGUG
rnacentral:rRNA from 1 species